rnacentral:rRNA from 1 species
GUGAGGAAUUUUCCGCAAUGGGCGAAAGCCUGACGGAGCAAUGCCGCGUGAAGGAUGAAGGCCUAUGGGUUGUAAACUUCUUUUCUCAGAAAAGAAUUAUGACGGUAUCUGAGGAAUAAGCAUCGGCUAACUCUGUGCCAGCAGCCGCGGUAAUACGUAGGGUGCAAGCGUUAUCCGGAUUCACUGGGUUUAAAGGGUGCGUAGGCGGUUUUAUAAGUCAGUGGUGAAAUCAACGGGCUCAACCUGUUAACUGCCAUUGAUACUGUAGGACUUGAAUAUGAGAGAGGUAGGCGGAAUGUUGCAUGUAGCGGUGAAAUGCUUAGAUAUGCUACGGAACACCGAUUGCGAAGGCAGCUUACUAUUUCAUGAUUGACGCUGAGGCACGAAAGCGUGGGUAGCGAACAGGAUUAGAUACCCGUGUAGUCC